AGUCGAACGGCAGCGCGGGGCAACCUGGCGGCGAGUGGCGAACGGGUGAGUAAUAUAUCGGAACGUACCCAAGAGUGGGGGAUAACGUAGCGAAAGUUACGCUAAUACCGCAUACGAUCCAAGGAUGAAAGCAGGGGAUCUUCGGACCUUGUGCUCCUGGAGCGGCCGAUAUCUGAUUAGCUAGUUGGUGAGGUAAAGGCUCACCAAGGCCACGAUCAGUAGCUGGUCUGAGAGGACGACCAGCCACACUGGAACUGAGACACGGUCCAGACUCCUACGGGAGGCAGCAGUGGGGAAUUUUGGACAAUGGGCGAAAGCCUGAUCCAGCAAUGCCGCGUGAGUGAAGAAGGCCUUCGGGUUGUAAAGCUCUUUUGUCAGGGAAGAAACGGUUUGGGCUAAUACCCUGAGCUAAUGACGGUACCUGAAGAAUAAGCACCGGCUAACUACGUGCCAGCAGCCGCGGUAAUACGUAGGGUGCAAGCGUUAAUCGGAAUUACUGGGCGUAAAGCGUGCGCAGGCGGUUUUGUAAGUCUGACGUGAAAUCCCCGGGCUCAACCUGGGAAUUGCGUUGGAGACUGCAAGGCUAGAAUCUGGCAGAGGGGGGUAGAAUUCCACGUGUAGCAGUGAAAUGCGUAGAGAUGUGGAGGAACACCGAUGGCGAAGGCAGCCCCCUGGGUCAAGAUUGACGCUCAUGCACGAAAGCGUGGGGAGCAAACAGGAUUAGAUACCCUGGUAGUCCACGCCCUAAACGAUGUCUACUAGUUGUCGGGUUUUAAUUAACUUGGUAACGCAGCUAACGCGUGAAGUAGACCGCCUGGGGAGUACGGUCGCAAGAUUAAAACUCAAAGGAAUUGAC
rnacentral:rRNA from 1 species